GCUUCCAUGGUGAAAUGGAUAUCACAACGGUCUUCGGAACCGUCGUUCCAGGUUCGAAUCCUGGUGGGAGCA
rnacentral:tRNA from 1 species